rnacentral:rRNA from 1 species
CCUACGGGAGGCAGCAGUAGGGAAUAUUGCACAAUGGGCGAAAGCCUGAUGCAGCAACGCCGCGUGCGCGAAGAAGGCCUUCGGGUUGUAAAGCGCUUUUCUGGAGGAAGGGGAAGGACGGUACUCCAGGAAUAAGGAUCGGCUAACUACGUGCCAGCAGCCGCGGUAAU